rnacentral:rRNA from 1 species
CGAUGAGUUGAGCUAACCGGUACUAAUGAAACGUGAGGCUUAAACUUACAACGCAGAAG